UUGCAUGUCAAUGCGACAUAUGUAAAAGUUGUAUAAUUUAACCUUAAGUUCUUCUAUAAAAUAUUAUACCCGGUACUCGAAGAGUAAAUAGUAACGAGAGUAAAUAUAGAUAGAGUAAAUAUGUGACGCACAGCAGGAAGCGUUUCCCACCCCAUAAAGUAUAUAUAUUCUUGAUCAGCAUCAAUAGCCGAGUCGAUUGAGCCAUGUCUGUCUGUCCGUCUGUCCGUCCGUCUUGCUGAGCGCCUAGGACUCAGAGACUAUAAAAGCUAGAGCCACCAAACUUUGCAUCCAUACUUCUGUAUGCUCACACUGUUACAAGUGUAUUUCACAAAUAAGCCACGCCCCCUCAAAAGGGCGAAAACCUCCCAAAUCUACAAUUUUGAAGAUAAAAGAAAACUAUUCAUUCCGUAGGGAAUGACCAUAUGAAUCAGAUCAUCAAAUUGGUAUCCGAUUGGAUCAUUAUUAUAGCCACAAUGAAGAAAUAAAUUUCCAGUUGCUAAACCCACCUCGUCCCGCAGCUUAUAUUUGUUUUUUGCACAUUCUCUCAUUCACACUCUGCUUCUGCAUUAUGCGGCCUUUGCCUCUGCCGUCCCUCUGUCCCUCUGAUGAGGGAAAAAUUUAAAAUUUGAGAAAUAAUGUACAUGCGUAGUGCUGAGUGCCGGGUAUAAAAGUUGUGACGCGUAAGAAGCGUCUCACGCAUCCCUUUCGAGCUCAAAUACAAAAUACCCUAUUAACUCUUCGAGUACCGGGUAUAAAAACAAAGAGGAACAAAGUGAGGCUCAAGUUGGUCCAUUCUUUGGAUUCUGAAUUUUGGAUUAUGUAGCUCUUAUAGUCUCUGAGUACUAGGUACUGUUGAUGCUGGUCUAGAGUAUACAUAUUUACUUAAUAGUGUCGGAAACGUUUCUUUUUGCACAAUUGGCACAUUGCAAUGGUUGGUUAGACCACAAACCGAAUAAACCUCUUAACUCUUCCUGUGCCGGG
rnacentral:lncRNA from 1 species